AGUAAGCGUAGUUAUGGGUUUCAAUGCCGAGCGUUUGACAGUCCAUUUUAUUGGAAUUUUUUAUGAUUAGUAUUUGUAUUGUUAUUAGAUGAUAUGAAUAGUAAUUUAUGUGUGACUUAGUUUUUAAAUUUUUUUCAUAAAUUUUUCAAAUAAAACGAACGGUCAAACGUCGGACAUGGAAACUUAUGUCUGCACUUAAA
rfam:Oryza sativa (indica cultivar-group) chromosome 12, whole genome shotgun sequence.